rnacentral:rRNA from 1 species
GGGGCUAAACCAUGCACCGAAGCUGCGGCAGCGACACUCAGGUGUUGUUGGGUAGGGGAGCGUUCUGUAAGCCUGUGAAGGUGGCCUGUGAGGGUUGCUGGAGGUAUCAGAAGUGCGAAUGCUGACAUAAGUAACGAUAAAGCGGGUGAAAAGCCCGCUCGCCGGAAGACCAAGGGUUCCUGUCCAACGUUAAUCGGGGCAGGGUGAGUCGACCCCUAAGGCGAGGCCGAAAGGCGUAGUCGAUGGGAAACGGGUUAAUAUUCCCGUACUUGGUGUUACUGCGAAGGGGGGACGGAGAAGGCUAUGUUGGCCGGGCGACGGUUGUCCCGGUUUAAGCGUGUAGGUGUGUGUUCCAGGUAAAUCCGGUUCACUUUAACACUGAGGCGUGACGACGAGGCACUACGGUGCUG